rnacentral:rRNA from 1 species
AGUGAACGCUGGCGGUAGGCCUAACACAUGCAAGUCGAACGGCAGCACAGGAGAGCUUGCUCUCUGGGUGGCGAGUGGCGGACGGGUGAGGAAUACAUCGGAAUCUACUCUGUCGUGGGGGAUAACGUAGGGAAACUUACGCUAAUACCGCAUACGGCCUACGGGUGAAAGCAGGGGAUCUUCGGACCUUGCGCGAUUGAAUGAGCCGAUGUCGGAUUAGCUAGUUGGCGGGGUAAAGGCCCACCAAGGCGACGAUCCGUAGCUGGUCUGAGAGGAUGAUCAGCCACACUGGAACUGAGACACGGUCCAGACUCCUACGGGAGGCAGCAGUGGGGAAUAUUGGACAAUGGGCGCAAGCCUGAUCCAGCCAUACCGCGUGGGUGAAGAAGGCCUUCGGGUUGUAAAGCCCUUUUGUUGGGAAAGAAAUCCAGCUGGUUAAUACCCGGUUGGGAUGACGGUACCCAAAGAAUAAGCACCGGCUAACUUCGUGCCAGCAGCCGCGGUAAUACGAAGGGUGCAAGCGUUACUCGGAAUUACUGGGCGUAAAGCGUGCGUAGGUGGUUAUUUAAGUCCGUUGUGAAAGCCCUGGGCUCAACCUGGGAACUGCAGUGGAUACUGGAUGACUAGAAUGUGGUAGAGGGUAGCGGAAUUCCUGGUGUAGCAGUGAAAUGCGUAGAGAUCAGGAGGAACAUCCAUGGCGAAGGCAGCUACCUGGACCAACAUUGACACUGAGGCACGAAAGCGUGGGGAGCAAACAGG